rnacentral:tRNA from 1 species
GACUGGAUAGCCUAGUGGUCAAAGGCAGCACUUCUAGCAAUGAUGAGGUCUCAGGUUUGAAGCCUGGUCUAGUCA